GUGCCUAUAGCUUAAGGGUAAAGCUCCGCGCUGUGGCCGCGGUGAUACGGGUUCGAGGCCCGUUAGGCACC
rnacentral:tRNA from 1 species